UGAUGAUUAGUUAUUUUCAGUUAUUUUAUCGUCAAUGUCUGCUGAUUGGUUUCUAAUCAAAUAUGUAUUAGGCUGACUCUCAGAUCUAUGCAAUCACAUUAAUUAAUGAAUUCAUUAACUAAUUAAUGGUUUAGUCCCAUAGGAAACAAACACCCUGAGGAUGUGAGCUGUGUGUGAGUGCCAGGCAGACGGUGCAUCCCAGGUUAUAUUAAUUAAGCACCAAACAAAGGAAAACAGGCUGAAACAGGGAGGGAUUAUCUGAACUUGUUCAAUUGUUUUUGUCUUCUGUUGCAAAAUGUUUUGCUACUGUGUGUCCCAGUCAGCCAGUGAGUAUAAAUGGUGAGUCCAAUGACCAAUUGUCCCUUCUGUCCAGAAGAGGGCACUGUUACUCAGUCAGCCAAACAAUCCAGAGUGACUAUUGAAUUGAAUUUUGUGAUUUUGUGGGGUUUUUUUUGCGAUUAUGAAUAAAGCCUACUGGUUUAGGAACAAUGAUGAUGUGCUAUAUGUAAUGAUGUUUGUCUCACCUUAUGUUGUACAGAUUACACGUCUGGGUUUUCCCUGUUGUAAAUAGUCCAUCUGGAAUGAUGAACCUGUAAAGAAACAGGACAAAAUACUCCCAUGUUUGUGACACCCACGUUUUUUUUUAAUGUACUGUACAUAAAGGUUCACUUGUUUUUCAAAUAAACAAAGCUUUUGUCCGUGCUUUGUAGGCCUAUGGCUUGAUUCUAUUGACUCUAUUCGCUACUCUAUGUUCAAGGUAGAAAUCGCUAGAUGGCAGUACUGUCUCACUAAUAAUGUUGAACCAGAGUUGCAUCAUGAGCUUUAAACAUCACCCCUGUCUUCAUCCUUGUCUAGCUACUCACAUACACAGUGUUUCAGCUAGCUUCAUGGGUACCUUCAGCACAGUUCAAAGGUGUUUCAUACUGGUAAGAUAGAACUACUGGACAUCAAAGAAGAUGUGAUGAGUUGCCAUUUUGAAAUCAAAGCCUUUCGACCUGUGAAAUGUCUGUCAAUACUGCCGUCCCUGUGUGCCUGUCUGCACAUAUGUCCGUGUGUGUGUUGUGUGUGUGUGUGUGUGUGUGUGUGUGUGUGUGUGUGUGUGUGUUGUUUAUUUAUGUGUGUGUAUGUGCAUGCUUGUCUGUCUCUUCUUGUGUGCUCAUCAGCAUGUAACACUACACAGCAUGUAACACUACACAGCAUGUAACACUACACAGCAGAUCUAUUCCACCAUUAGCCUUUCAUUUGCAGUGGAGGAUAUUAACCUGUCAACCCACAAAGGUCUUUGACCAAAACCAAAACCAAAGCAACUGAAAAUGAAAGCAGAAAUGGUGACUGUCAGCUAUUAAACUGAUAUUACAGCUAUAUAAAAUAUAAACACUUCCAGGCAAAGCUACAAACAAUGCUCUCUAUCAGAGGAUCCAUAUGUGAGGUCAUAUUUCUUUUGAUCUGCUAUUGUCUUUGUUGUUGAACAUCAUAAUGAACAAGCUAGACUAGAUAUUCUGCUGCUUAGCGGCUGCUGCUGCUGUUGUUGUGGUUAAUGUGAUGGAUGAUGAUUGAUGUGACAGGCCUCCCUCCACUCCUCGUCCUCUCCUCUUCCUCCUCUCCUUAUCAGCUGCUGUUGUUGAUGUGGUUAAUGUGAUAUGGAUGAUGAUUGAUGUGACAGGCCUCCCUCCACUUCCUCGUCCUCUCUCUCUCUCUCUCUCUCUCUCUCUCUCUCUCUCUCUCUCUCUCUCUCUCUCUCUCUCUCUCUCNNNNNNNNNNNNNNNNNNNNNNNNNNNNNNNNNNNNNNNNNNNNNNNNNNNNNNNNNNNNNNNNNNNNNNNNNNNNNNNNNNNNNNNNNNNNNNNNNNNNUAACCGGAUGGCGAGCAGUUCGCGGUUACCCACAUCAUAGUUACGUUCCGACGGCGACAGGCGAUGAGAAAAAUACGCGCAUGGGUGGACCUUGUCGUCAGAGAGGGAGCGCUGAGAAAGAAUGGCUCCCACGCCCACCUCUGACGCGUCAACCUCGACAACGAACUGUCUAGAGACGUCAGGUGUAACAAGGAUAGGAGCGGAUGUAAAACGAUUCUUGAGGAGAUCAAAAGCUCCCUGGGCGGAAACGGACCACUUAAAGCACGUCUUGACAGAAGUAAGGGCUGUGAGAGGAGCUGCCACCUGACCGAAAUUACGGAUGAAACGACGAUAGAAGUUCGCGAAGCCGAGAAAGCGCUGCAGCUCGACGCGUGACUUAGGGACGGGCCAAUCAAUGACAGCUUGGACCUUAGCGGGAUCCAUCUUAAUGCCUUCAGCGGAAGUAACAGAACCGAGAAAUGUGACGGAGGAGGCAUGAAAAGUGCACUUCUCAGCCUUCACAAAAAGACAAUUCUCUAAAAGGCGCUGGAGGACACGUCGAACGUGCUGAACAUGAAUCUGGAGUGACGGUGAAAAAAUCAGGAUAUCGUCAAGGUAAACGAAAACAAAGAUGUUCAGCAUGUCUCUCAGGACAUCAUUGACUAAUGCCUGAAAGACAGCUGGAGCGUUAGCGAGGCCGAAAGGAAGAACCCGGUAUUCAAAGUGCCCUAACGGAGUGUUAAACGCCGUCUUCCACUCGUCCCCCUCCCUGAUGCGCACGAGAUGGUAAGCGUUACGAAGGUCCAACUUAGUGAAAAACCUGGCUCCCUGCAGGAUCUCGAAGGCUGAAGACAUAAGAGGAAGCGGAUAACGAUUCUUCACUGUUAUGUCAUUCAGCCCUCGAUAAUCUAUGCAGGGGCGCAGAG
rnacentral:lncRNA from 13 species